rnacentral:lncRNA from 1 species
ACAAAUUUUCCUACCUCAAUGAAGGCUAUAUAAGGUCUAUGUGCUACCAGGUAACAUUCAAUUUUUUUUGGUCAUGCAUUUUCCUCAUUCUUCUACUUAUUUGAGCAUUUGGGUGUUUGUAGGUGACCACCACCAUACCAUAUUAAAUUUUAUAGUAUAGUAAAGACAUCCGAAAAGUUUCCUUAAAAAUUGGUUUAUAAAGGGAUGACCUAUCCAAUUAUAUAAACACUUAUCAAGUUUGUUAAACAUCCGAUGUGAGAUUAUUCUCAACAGGAACUACAAAUUGGAGGCUUUCAUCACUCUACUACUAGAAAAUAACUAGGGUGUUAACAAGACUUUAUUAACAUCGAUUUUUAAAACAAAUCAAUAUUAACAAUUUCAUAUUAUUUAUGAAUAUAAUAUCACAUUUUUUUGUUAACAUCAAUUUUAUAAACCGGGUAACGAUGUUAAAAUGAUUUUUUGUAGUAGUGUUCCAACAAAUCGUCAUUGUGUACCUAUACCUCAACCACCACCCAUUGCAGGUACUACCAAUGUUGUUUAUAAUGUUACUACAUUUGCAGCGGUGACUUUUGUUGCUAAACUGGCUGUUAUAUCUUUCAACAGCAAUGAAACACCUUGGAGUAGGAAUGAUAAUUGAUGUAGAACACUUUACCCAAACGAGACUGGGAUAAAGCCACCGUGAUGAGCGUAGCAACCAUCCUAAUCCCCACACGUUCUCCAAGGUCUAUGUUUCCCAACCUGGACAUACUAUCUAAUCAAUACCUUCAUUCUCUAACAUAGUUCAUAACACAAUGAACUCUCACCACCAACUGCCACAUUAGUCAUUGUUGAUCAACACGACGACAGGAUAAUCUCGUUCAACUUAUCCUUUUUUUUGCAGUGUUCAGUUUUUAGGUUCCAAAGCAUAUUCAACAACUCCCUCUAUGGAAUUGUACUAUGGAACCAUGGAUCCAAAUGAUCAUCUCCAUGUUUUUUAGUCCAAUCUCUCUUAAAAUGGAGAGACAGGGUCUCUUAUGUACAGGGUGCUCCCCCUAUCAUUGAAAUAAACAACUUUGAAGUGGUGCCAAUCACACCCGGGUCGAUUGAUCAACUUGAAAA